rnacentral:rRNA from 1 species
CCUACGGGUGGCAGCAGUGGGGAAUAUUGGGCAAUGGGCGCAAGCCUGACCCAGCAACGCCGCGUGAAGGAAGAAGGCUUUCGGGUUGUAAACUUCUUUUGUCAGGGACGAAGCAAGUGACGGUACCUGACGAAUAAGCCACGGCUAACUACGUGCCAGCAGCCGUGGUAAUACGUAGGUGGCAAGCGUUAUCCGGAUUUAUUGGGGGUAAAGGGCGUGUAGGCGGGAAUGCAAGUCAGAUGUGAAAACUAUGGGCUCAACCCAGAGCCUGCAUUUGAAACUGUAUUUCUGGAGUGCUGGAGAGGCAAUCGAAAGUCCGUGUGUAGCGGUGAAAUGCGUAGAUAUACGGAGGAACACCAGUGGCGAAGGCGGAUUGCUGGACAGUAACUGACGCUGAGGCGCGAAAGCGUGGGGAGCAAACAGGAUUAGAUACCCUUGUAGUC